rnacentral:rRNA from 1 species
UGGGGAAUAUUGCACAAUGGGCGCAAGCCUGAUGCAGCCAUGCCGCGUGUAUGAAGAAGGCCUUCGGGUUGUAAAGUACUUUCAGUCGGGAGGAAGGUGUCAAGGUUAAUAACCUUGGCAAUUGACGUUACCGACAGAAGAAGCACCGGCUAACUCCGUGCCAGCAGCCGCGGUAAUACGGAGGGUGCAAGCGUUAAUCGGAAUUACUGGGCGUAAAGCGCACGCAGGCGGUUGAUUGAGUCAGAUGUGAAAUCCCCGGGCUUAACCCAGGAAUUGCAUCUGAUACUGGUCAGCUAGAGUCUUGUAGAGGGGGGUAGAAUUCCAUGUGUAGCGGUGAAAUGCGUAGAGAUGUGGAGGAAUACCGGUGGCGAAGGCGGCCCCCUGGACGAAGACUGACGCUCAGGUGCGAAAGCGUGGGGAGCAAACAGG